UACGUAGGGUCCGAGCGUUGUCCGGAAUUACUGGGCGUAAAGAGCUCGUAGGUGGUUUGUCGCGUUGUUCGUGAAAACUCACAGCUUAACUGUGGGCGUGCGGGCGAUACGGGCAGACUUGAGUACUGCAGGGGAGACUGGAAGUUCCUGGUGUAGCGGUGGAAUGCGCAGAUAUCAGGAGGAACACCGGUGGCGAAGGCGGGUCUCUGGACAGUUCCUGACGCUGAGGCGCGAAGGCCAGGGGAGCAA
rnacentral:rRNA from 1 species